UGGCGGACGGGUGAGUAACNCGUAAAGAACUUGCCCUUUAGACUGGGAUAACAGAGGGAAACUUCUGAUAAUACUGGAUAAGUUAGUAUAUCGCAUGAUAUGCAAAUGAAAGCUACGGCACUAAAGGAGAGCUUUGCGUCCUAUUAGCUAGUUGGUAAGGUAAGAGCUUACCAAGGCGAUGAUAGGUAGCCGGCCUGAGAGGGUGGACGGCCACAAGGGGACUGAGAUACGGCCCUUACUCCUACGGGAGGCAGCAGCG
rnacentral:rRNA from 1 species